UACAGGGGGGGCAAGCGUUGUUCGGAAUUACUGGGCGUAAAGGGCCAGUAGGCGGCCAACUAAGUCCGACGUGAAAUCCCCAGGCUUAACCUGGGAACUGCGUCGGAUACUGGAUGGCUGGAGUGUGGGAGAGGGAUGCGGAAUUCCAGGUGUAGCGGUGAAAUGCGUAGAUAUCUGGAGGAACACCGGUGGCGAAGGCGGCAUCCUGGACCAUUACUGACACUGAAAAGCGAAAGCCAGGGGAGCAAACGGG
rnacentral:rRNA from 1 species